rnacentral:rRNA from 1 species
AUUAACGCUAGCGGCAGGCAUAAUACAUGCAAGUUGAACGGCAGCACAGGUAGCAAUACUGGGUGGCGAGUGGCGCACGGGUGCGUAACACGUAUGCAACCUACCCUAUACAGGCGAAUAACCUUUAGAAAUGAGGGCUAAUACGCCGUAGUAUUACAGAUGGGCAUCUAUUUGUAAUUAAAGAUUUAUCGGUAUAGGAUGGGCAUGCGUCCCAUUAGUUAGUUGGUAAGGUAACGGCUUA